ACUGAAGACAAACAGUUUUGAAAUAUAUUUUGAAUUAUUUCCGCAGACAUUGACGAAUGUUUUGAUGGCAAUCAUACAUGCGAUGCGAAUGCACAAUGUAACAAUACGGUUGGAUCAUACCUCUGUGAAUGUCCCAGUGGAUUCUUGGGAGAUGGAAAAACAUGCACAGGUAUUUUAUAACCGGAGAUUGCUAAACAUAAAUUAUUAUCAUUUUAUUUUAGCCAUUGGUGAACGUUCCACGAAAAGCUGUAAAUGCGAUGUUUAUUUAAAAUGUGAAUGCAUUGUUUGUUCGGAUAAAGCAUCCAAUAGUGUUUCUCAUUUGACAUUUGCAUCAAUUGUCCAAGGAGGAUUCUUUGCUCAGCAUGUCUUAGAGAACUAAUAAAUUAUUGGCUAAUAGGCACAUUUUAGUUUGAAGAUCCUGGGAGUGAGUUUUGAGGAGCAAAAAUUCAAUAUGGCGGCUAGUUAAUUGAAAAAGUGGAGAUUUGUACUUACGAUUUCGCAAAUUUUGUAUACUUUUGUAUUGCGUGCGGAAAUUACUGCGACAUUUGGGCCGAAAAUGGUAGCAAUUGUAUUGUAUCCUGAACCAAAUUAAAGAGAAUGUACACUUUAGACGUAUUAAAUAGAAAAUAUAGACCUGCAGCUGAAACAGAACACUCGAAUUAAAUCAAAUUACACCAGGCUAGACACCAAUUUCGAAACGUAUGCUGAAACACGAUUUUUUAAACGUAUGCUUUUAUUUACCAUGGAUCAUAAAAAUACUGGAUAGGAACCUCACGCUUACGCAUGAUGGUUUCCUGGUGCUUUUAGCGUGUUGAUAGCAUUUCAACCUUGUUGAAAAUUAUGACAUCACUAAAUCCAAAAUAAUUGCACGUUUAGCAAUAGUACUGCUUAGUAUUUUAGUAAAAAAAGUAAGAAUAUCUAUAUAUUUUGGGUCAUCAUCACGGAAUACAGUUCAACUAGAUCACGCGUCUGCUCGCGUCAGCUGUUUUCUAUCCAUUUUUUAACUGUCCAUGCUAUUACCAAAAUAGGUACUAAAGGUAACACAAUUCCUCUUCAUUUAGUUUAUGGCGAAAUUUUAAAUGCAACCACUUUACACAUGCUUAUUGUGGUUAUACAGCUAUUUCAAUUAAGGUUGUCCACGAGCAAAGCGGAAAAGUCGAAUACGAGCGCGAAAGGCUAUUGGGAAUCGCUUUGAAAAUUAAUUACUUGUUAGCGAUCCCCAGCAGCCUUUCGCGCUCGUAUUCGACUUUUCCGCUUUGCUCGUGGACAACCUUAAUUGAAAUAGCUGUAUACGCCAGAAUAUGAAUAGUACAGUACAGGACAAUUCUCACUGUGAAAACGUACCUUAAAAUGCAAACGGAAGGAAAAGAAUAACAUCAACUGAGGCCUCACUACAUGUCACCCUGCAUGAACCCUACCGUAAAUGAACAUCUGUCAUCUGAUGUCAUCUAACAGAAAUAACAGAAAAAAUCAAUUUGUUUUUAUAGUUGUUCCAUCUUCAUUGAAAAGCAACAGCACGUUCUGCGAUUUGUAUAAUUCGUCUUGCCACAACUGUUCCCAGCACAUGGAAUGUGCGUGGUGUUUCUCUGACAACUCCUGUUUUCCAUGGCAAAUGCGCAACCAUCACGGGACAUGCCACGAGGACAAUUGGUGUCGUGGUGAAUGUAUAAUACCGCAUAGGAAAUCGGAAGUGAUGUUUUAUGUUCUUCUUAUGCUUGUUCUGUUUCUUCUUAUUAUUGUAAUACUAUUAGCCUCGCAUUAUUGCUGUCCUAGGACGCUAGAAAACAACGAGGACGAAUCAGCGGCACAAAGCGUUGAUUAUGUACCAGAUAGCUCGAAAGACGAAGCGAAACUGCGCAGAGGAACGCAGUUCAUCACGACAGUAACAAUACCAAUGGGAAACGCGAUAAUGACCAAAGAGGCUAUCCCAUGGUCGUCGCGAACGGAGGAACUCAGAAAGAAGUAUGAAUUAUUUGAGUAGGGACUUACGAAUUCCAUGCAAAUAAUAGGCAAUGAGGUCAACAGGACCAGGCACACUAUUUAACUAUUUUACUGAUUUAACAUUUUUUAUAUUUGCUGACAUUAAAUCUUAUAUAUUCUGCAUAGCGAAAUUUAUUUGCAAAGACCGUAUGAACAUAUGACACAUAUCAGCCACUGAUCUAGUAAUAGACUGGAUAUAGCUUUUAUAGGUGUCAAAAGUAAAGC